ACAACAGGUGGUGGGUGGGCUUU
rnacentral:siRNA from 1 species